UUUUAUUAUCGUUGAUUUACAACAUUCUGUCAAUUUCUGCUGUACAGCAGAGUAACCCAGUUGUACAUACAUUAUAUAUAUUUUUUCUUUUUCCCAUAUUAUCUUCUGUCAUGCUCCAUCACAAGUGACUGGAUAUAGUUCCCUAUGCCAUACAGCAGGACCUCCCUCAUUGCUUAUCCACUCCAAAUGCAAUCUUCAUCUUCUCUGGCUCCAGAUUCCUCUCAUAAGCCUCUCUACCCUACUUGACCCCAUGUCACUUUAGUGUAGGACACACCCAUGCGAUGGUCGCCUCGUCAAGUUCCAGAAGGGGCAGGGGCUCCAGCCAUUCCAAUGCUCUGCCACCACACGACAGUCAUACAGGACCUUGUAUGCGUUUAUAUAAGUCCUCCGAUCUCCCUAGCUUUCACCUACCGAGUGACGCUUAAAUCUGCUCAAGCCUCACCUGAUGGGAGUUUCUCUCGCCAUUUCUCCCACGCCUCAGCCUGAAAAGGAAAGAAAGGGAAGGCACAGGACCACCAGGUCUACUGCAUCUUUCUUCUAACACAAAUCUCCCCCUAGCCUAAGAGAGUGCUUAUACAACAUUAUGAUGAGAUUGUCUCAUUGUUCUAGCUAAUUUUAAUUCCAAUGUACUGUUUAAAUUUUCAAAAAUAAAUACAUCUAUGCACUGGCAUCUUCAGAGCUUUACUUUGAAAACUCAAAACCUUUUCUAUCAAACACAGUCCAGCUCCUUCAACGCAAAAACCUUUUGGAUUUUAAGACUGUUGCAUCAGCUGUAAAUUUCAGCAGCCUACUUAGAACACAGAAAAUAAGAAUGUAACUCUUCUUUAAAAAGUUUUAAAUCUAUUCUCCAACAUAAAACUGUAAUGGUAAUAAGUUUGAAUGCGAUUUAACGGGAAAAGGGCUGUGGGUAUUAAAAACAUAAACAUAUACACAUUUACAUAUUUGUAAACAAAAGAUAAUUUACUAAAAAGAAAUUACACAGUUAGUACGUCAAAAGACAAAAGCAGUUAGUACGUCAAAAGUAUAUAAUGAUAGAGUCCAUAAACACAAAUGCAUUUAGUUAUAUGUGUUACAUCAAUUAUGGAAAACAAAUGGUUUUAUCCAUAAAUUUUGAUAAUAUUCUUUCUCCUCUACCUCCGCCAUCUUUCUUCCCCUUGCCUCCUUGCUGCUUCUGAAAACACCUGAAAUAUAGAGUACUGCUGCCAAUGGCAGGCCCUCUGGUAGGAUGCUAGUGGUGAGGUGGUACAGGCAGGCAUGUGACUGGAAUGGUGAGAAGAGGUACUAUUUAGGGAGAAUGUAAAAGCAAUCAAGGGUACAGCAUAGAGCUUUAGAUGUAUGAGUAAUGGAGAUACAAAGCUAGUCUAUCUCUGCUAUCAAAAAUUAACAAAUAUGCCAGAAAAUAAAACCUACAAAUUCACAUUUUUAAAUAUAGAUGCAAAGCCACCAAAUAAAAUCUUGACAAAUCCACUACAUAUUUAAAACUAUCCCUGGAGUUUCUGUCGUGGCUCAAUGGAAACGAAUCUGACUAGUAUCCAUGAGGACAUGGGUUUGAUCCCUGCCCUUGCUCAGUGGGUUAAGCAUCCAUUGUGGCUGUGAGCUCUGGUGUAGGUCACAGAUGCAGCUCGGAUCUGGCUGCGGCUGUGGCGUAGGCCAGCGGCGACAGCUCCAACUUGACCUGGCCUGGGAACCUCCAUAUGCCACGGGUAUGGCCAUAAAACAAAAAGACAAAAACAAAAAAAAUAAAAGUAUCCCUUCAUGACCAAAUAGGACUUAACCACGGGGAAGCAAAAUGAGUAAAUUUAAAGAUAUUUAUCUGCCAUACCAGCAGAUAAAUGCCACACACACCUAUUGCUAUCUUGAUUGAUCCCCUAGUAUCAAAGGUUGAAAAUACUUAAAAGUACUUAAAAUCUAACCUCCCCUCCACUUUAAGAUAAACAUUUAACAACCAAAAAACAAACAACAAAUCCCAAAGAGCCUCUUAACCAAAUAAGAGGAAAGAAGGACAUAGGAGGAGCCUAAAACAAAUAUUACACUCAAUCAAUAGUCAACAGCAGAAGGGUUCCCAUGUGAGUCAAGAGGAAAAAGUCAAGGUUUUAAUCAAAGGAGAAAUAAAAGAAAAAACAAGAAGUACAAGAUUUUGUUUAUGCCUACCAAUAAAGACAGAUAAAAUCAACUAAAAAGCUUUAUUAAGAAUGAAUAAAAACAUGCAGAAAUGUGGCCAGAACCAAAGUCAACAUUAAUCACUCUCCUACACACAGAAAAAAUCAAUUUCAAAUUUGACUGGGGAAAAAAAAUAAGAUGUUUCGAGAGAUAGCAACAAAAAGAUGUGGAAUAAAUAGGAAUAAAUCUAAAAAGAAAUGUGCCGUUAAUAAGAAGAAAGCUACAAGAUUUUACCAAAGGA
ensembl:lncRNA